rnacentral:rRNA from 1 species
AUUGAACGCUGGCGGCAUGCCUUACACAUGCAAGUCGAACGGUAACAGGUCUUCGGACGCUGACGAGUGGCGAACGGGUGAGUAAUACAUCGGAACGUGCCCGAUCGUGGGGGAUAACGAGGCGAAAGCUUUGCUAAUACCGCAUACGAUCUACGGAUGAAAGCGGGGGAUCUUCGGACCUCGCGCGGACGGAGCGGCCGAUGGCAGAUUAGGUAGUUGGUGGGAUAAAAGCUUACCAAGCCGACGAUCUGUAGCUGGUCUGAGAGGAUGAUCAGCCACACUGGGACUGAGACACGGCCCAGACUCCUACGGGAGGCAGCAGUGGGGAAUUUUGGACAAUGGGCGAAAGCCUGAUCCAGCCAUGCCGCGUGCAGGAUGAAGGCCUUCGGGUUGUAAACUGCUUUUGUACGGAACGAAAAGCCUCUUUCUAAUAAAGAGGGGUCAUGACGGUACCGUAAGAAUAAGCACCGGCUAACUACGUGCCAGCAGCCGCGGUAAUACGUAGGGUGCAAGCGUUAAUCGGAAUUACUGGGCGUAAAGCGUGCGCAGGCGGUUUUGUAAGACAGAGGUGAAAUCCCCGGGCUCAACCUGGGAACUGCCUUUGUGACUGCAAGGCUGGAGUGCGGCAGGGGGGGAUGGAAUUCCGCGUGUAGCAGUGAAAUGCGUAGAUAUGCGGAGGAACACCGAUGGCGAAGGCAAUCCCCUGGGCCUGCACUGACGCUCAUGCACGAAAGCGUGGGGAGCAAACAGG